UACGAAGGGGGCUAGCGUUGUUCGGAAUUACUGGGCGUAAAGGGCGCGUAGGCGGUGUGUCAAGUCAGGCGUGAAGGCCCCGGGCUCAACCUGGGAACCGCGCUUGAGACUGGCACGCUCGAGUUCGGGAGAGGAUGGUGGAAUUCCCAGUGUAGAGGUGAAAUUCGUAGAUAUUGGGAAGAACACCGAUGGCGAAGGCAGCCAUCUGGACCGACACUGACGCUGAGGCGCGAAAGCGUGGGGAGCAAACAGG
rnacentral:rRNA from 1 species